rnacentral:rRNA from 1 species
AGUGGGGAAUUUUGGACAAUGGGGGCAACCCUGAUCCAGCAAUGCCGCGUGUGUGAAGAAGGCCUUCGGGUUGUAAAGCACUUUUGUCCGGAAAGAAAACUUCGUCCCUAAUAUGGAUGGAGGAUGACGGUACCGGAAGAAUAAGCACCGGCUAACUACGUGCCAGCAGCCGCGGUAAUACGUAGGGUGCGAGCGUUAAUCGGAAUUACUGGGCGUAAAGCGUGCGCAGGCGGUGAUGUAAGACCGAUGUGAAAUCCCCGGGCUUAACCUGGGAACUGCAUUGGUGACUGCAUUGCUGGAGUAUGGCAGAGGGGGGUGGAAUUCCACGUGUAGCAGUGAAAUGCGUAGAGAUGUGGAGGAACACCGAUGGCGAAGGCAGCCCCCUGGGCCAAUACUGACGCUCAUGCACGAAAGCGUGGGGAGCAAA